rnacentral:lncRNA from 1 species
GAUCAAAGUCUGCUAGAACAAAAAAAGAAAAAUAACCAUAAAAAAAAACAUUUUAAAAAAAUUGUAAAGCAACAAGAAAGUUAAAAAAAGUAAAUAUAUAUAUAUAUAUAUACACACACUCGAAAAGAACUGGAAGUUGCUUAUAUAAUAGUGUAACAGAUAGAGAAAGAGCGUUAACGUGGAGUGUACACUGAAAGCAAAAACCGAAAAGCUUCCUGUCAUUCACACUUCGUCUUCACGCGGUAUCUCUUUUCUCUUUGAAUGAAAAAAAAAGGGGCCAUAUAUUUAUUUCCACAGAAACAGAGAAACCCAAUAAGGGAAAAGCAAAAAAGACACCACCACAAAAUUCUAGAACCAAAGAAACAAAGAACAACGAGAACGGGAGCAUUCGAAGUUGUUAAAGCAGAUGAUGUUGAGAUCGUGGUACAGACCAUUAGAGAGGUGUUUUGGUCGGGUAGCAGGUGGUGGUGGCGGUGAUGGAUUGAUGUGGCAUGCUGAUUUAAAACAACAUGCGUCUGGUGAUUAUUCAAUUGCGGUUGUUCAAGCUAAUUCUAAUUUAGAAGAUCAAAGUCAGGUUCUUACGUCCUCCUCCGCUACUUAUGUUGGUGUUUAUGAUGGUCAUGGCGGUCCUGAAGCUUCCCGAUUUGUCAAUAAACAUUUGUUUCCUUACAUGCAUAGUGAGAAUUCUCUCCUCUCUCUCUCUCUCUCUCUCUCCCCUCUUGUUUAUUUUUUUUUCUUUUGUUUGUUUUGUUUUUUGUCUUAAUUAGUUGUUUUCUUGAUUGUAAUGAUCAUGAUCACGGUGAUUAUCUUAAACCCUGAAUUUAUUUGUGGUUUUGAUGUCUUAAUCUAUUGGUCCUGUGGUUAAGGACUCAAGGUCCAGUCUUUGUGUGUUUGAGUUUGAAUUCCCAAACCCCAUAUCACAAAUUAUAGAAAGGAAAGAGAGUUUUAUUAUUAUUAUUAUUAUUAUUAUUAUUAAUCAUACGUUAUCUAAUUCUUCAUUUUUUACUAUCUUUUCUUUGGUCACCUUUCCCUUGUUCGUGCUAGUGCAAUAGUAUGUAUUAAUAUCUUUUCCAUUUCAAUAGAAUGAAUCUCGAUGUGAGAGGCUGGAGUUUGCUUUUGUGGGUUUAGUUAUGUUAGUGUUAGGGUGACAAGUUGUAGAAAACCUUGAAAGUUUCUAGCUUUAUUGAAUUGGAGCUUUGUUUGUUUGUGUUUUUAUUGUGUUUUUAUUUGUGGGCCGAUUGGAAAAGAAACUAGAUAAUAUGUGAUAAAAAUAAAAAAUUUGGCUGCCUAAGACGUGGACUAAACUGGCCUCUAUGCAACAGACUUCUUCGUAAUUGUGUCAUUCUCUAUCUAAGAUGUUAGUUUUGAUUGCAGAAUUUGCUACAGAGCAUGGGGGGUUAUCAGCUGACGUGAUAAGGAAGGCAUUUAAUGCAACUGAAGAGGAGUUUUGUCAUUUAGUGAAGCGAUCAUUACCAUGGAAGCCACAAAUUGCUUCUGCUGGAUCAUGUUGUUUGGUUGGAGCUAUUUCAAAUGAUGUGUUAUAUGUUGCGAACCUUGGGGACUCCAGGGUAGUUCUUGGCCGAGGAGUUGAUGAGGAUAAGAAAAAAAAGGUAGUGGCAGAAAGGUUAUCAACUGAUCACAAUGUUGCUGUUGAGGAGGUGAGAAAGGAGGUUCAGGCGCUUCAUCCUGAUGAUUCACAUAUUGUAGUCUAUACUCGUGGAGUUUGGAGGAUUAAGGGCAUUAUACAGGUAAAAUGGCUUCUUGUUGCUGAGCAGCUGGUCUUCUUGUUCCUGUUUUUGCUUGUUAGUUAUGAGAAUUCGGCUGAUUGGGUAUUGUUUGUUUGUGGCAUUAUACAUUCAUUCAUUUAGGUGCCAAAUAUGUUUCUUCAUCCUCUUGAUUGUCUUUCAAUGUCUUGCCAGGUUUAUUUUGAGUUACUUGGAUAACCUCUGUCUUAAAAACACUAUUUUGUAGUGUGUUUGACAUAAAGUAAUUGGUCUGAAGAUGGAUCAAUUCUGAAGGCAUCCAAUUUUAUGUUCGGUUCUCUUAUCUUUAUCUUUUGCUUUAUGAUAGGCAUCUGUCUAUGAUGGAAACACUAUAGUUAAAGUUGGCCUAGGGGUUACAUUCAUACCCUUCCGGGAAUCUUAUGCUCUGCCUCCUGGUCUACCAUUUCAUGCAAUCAAGUGAAGCAGUAUGUCUUCUGAUGCAUGAGAGGUAAAUGAAAACCCCUGAGGCCUAACAAGAAUGCUUAUGUAAUUACCGGAAGUCUUGAUCCUUUUUUUUUCCUUCUAUUUAACUUAUCCGGAGACUAGAAACAUCAUAGUGUGAUGUUCUGGUUGAUGAACUGAACCAUUGUGUUCAUUUGUUACUUGACUCCCUGAAGUUUUGGAGCUGAUUUACUAUCUUAGGCAUGUCGUAGAAGGUGGAAUAAACCUUCCCUGUUUCCUUUUUCCCUUUUCAGGUAUCUAGAUCCAUUGGUGAUGUGUAUCUGAAGAAACCAGAGAUUAACAGGGACCCAAUUUUUCAGCAGUUUGGGAACCCUAUUCCUUUGAAACGGCCAGUAAUGAAUCCAGAACCUUCCAUUCUCAAUAGAAAGUUGAGGCCAGAAGACUUGUUCCUGAUCUUUGCUUCAGAUGGUCUUUGGGAACAAUUGACCGAUGAAGCAGCUGUAGAGAUUGUUUUCAAAAACCCAAGAGCUGUAAGUUCCUGUCUUUGACUUAGAUGUUUCAUUUACUUUUUCUUGCAACUCUUAUUGAUAUUUAAAUCCCGGACCUAAUUUAUACUCUGAGGUUAGGCAAGUUAGGUUUUGAUGGGAUCCUUGGGAAUGAAAAUUGAAUUUCUUUUUCAUAAAACAAGCUUCAUCGAACCCAUGAGAAUGCAGAAUUCAGUUUCAUCUACUCGUAGCAUCUAAACGCACCGUAUUUCUGCUGAACAUGGACAUUGUUUUGGAAAUAGGAUAUUCCUGACAUCUGAACCUUUAAGCAAAUGUUUUGGCAAACAAACUAGAUGUCAUAGAUGUUCAAUUGUCUGGAGUUAUUUGUGCCUGUCCAAAUUUUGUUGCUUGCUUGACAAUUCUCUGGGCUGUUUUGACACCUGCAGGGGAUUGCUAAGAGAUUGGUGAGAGCUGCUAUUCAGGAGGCUGCAAAGAAAAGAGAGAUGAGAUACGAUGACAUAAAGAAAAUAAAAAAGGGAACGCGGCGGCAUUUUCAUGAUGAUAUCACUGUGAUUGUAAUUUAUCUUCAUCACCAAAAAGGUUCCUCCAAUGGUGGACUAAAGAAUAAUGUUGUUGGCUGCACCAGUGCUCCAGUCGACAUUUUCUCCCUUAAUGCAGAUCAAGCAGAGGUGGACUUGCUUCAAACAAUUUCUUGAACAAGGAAAAACCCUUUGAAGGGGUAAACACUGACUUCUUGAUUUCAAGGUAUAUUAAAGGAGAAUACAUUUAUGUAGAUGAAGUUAUAGCGGGUUCUGGUGUUAGCCUUUUCCAAGUAAAUAUAUAACUAUACUUGUUUCAUUCUAUCAAUGACUGGUUAAUUUUUCAGAAAUUGUAGCACCAAUUUUGUGCCUCUUUUGUAAUCCAAAUUUUAGAAAUUACAGGUCAUCAUUGAUUAUUUUUGGGCUUGUAAAAUCUGACAGUUCCGGUAGCCAAUGGUCCAAGGGCAUUUUUACGGUAUAAAUUGCACUGCACUUGCCUUAUUAAAAGCCUCUGACUUCAAGCACUGGCCAUUCUUGAACCAUUGCACAUUAGCAGCACGUGAGGUGAGUUAAGAAGUCAUCACAUGAGCCUCCCUGCCCUGCGCACAGCAUAUAUUUGUCAGUUGCUUCUACCUUCGUAGCUCAAACCUAAAUGAUGCACAACUUUCACACGAGGAAAGAACUUCGAAGUCCUCCAUAAUAGGAAGAAAAAACUACUUCUAUGUUAAAAAUUGCCGAAUUUGAGUUGAAUUGAAGUAACAAAAACAAGCACACCCGUGAUUGUAUAGCAAUACGCAAACGCAGACACGAGCCACCCCUGCAUCCAUGUAGUUGGCUAUGCGUAAGAAAGGGGAUUGUGAGGACUCACUCAAGCAUGGCUCCUUGCAACAAUCAAAAAGAUCGGAUUGGCCUUAGCUUCAGGCUUUAGGUCCCCAUUGAUGAUUAAUGAGAGGAUAUGAUGAUGACAAAAAUGUAAUAUACAUGGAUGAUAUUAAGAUAAAAUAACAUAAAAAGUUUUUUUUUUUUAAAAAAAAAAAGAAUAGAAGGAUAUAGGAAAGCUUUAACCCUUGCGAGACCAUGAUGCAUCCAUCGUUAUUUUUGCUUUGCCCAACUUUGCAUCCUUAAAAAACUCAAGAUUGGGAGGAUUUGAGGUUCUUGAAAAAAAAAAAAAUUAAAAAAACUCCUUGUACUGUAGAGAAACAGUGAUGGCGGCUGAAUUGCUUGGUGGAGCUGAUGUUGGAGCAGUGUUUGGUGAGCUGCUAGAAGCAGUCUUGAAUGAGAUAAACAAAGCCGCGUUCAAGACGAGACUGAGGCAAAUAGAAAAAACUCUACAAUCCAACAGUCCAAUUUUACAAGACAUGGAAAAGUUGAAUCAAGCAUUAAAUCGUAGAAAUGAGGAGACAGAAACAAUAAUAGAAGUAAUCAGGAAAGGCAAGACGCUCGUUGUUGUAUGCUCAAAAACCCGUAGGUAUAAUUGUUGGAGAAGGCAGAAAUACACAGACAAGCUCGUCAAGUUAGAAGAAUCCAGUGCACAAGUUAUUCUUUCAAACUGUUAUGCCAAAGCAAACAGUAAGGGACAGUCAAGAAAUUCUGUUGGAGCUAAGAGGCCAACAGCUCAAGUUCAAAAGGAAAAUUGAUGGACUUGUUGUCUCAUGUACAAUCUCUGGUGAAUGCUGUUGGAUUACAGGUGGCUUUAGGAGAAUUGAAGAUGGAGCUGUUUAAGGAUGGGAUGUCCAUUGCGGUGCUAUCUGCUCCUCCAGGCUGCAGAAAAACAACAUCGGCAAAACUACUUUGUCAUGUGUCAUGUGAAUGCUUUCCUUGUUAUGUAAUAAUCUCUACUAGUUCUUAGUAGCAACUCUCUCGUAUAGUUUUCGGUCUUUGAACAGGAAAAUUCAAGGAUAACAUCUUUUAUAUCACUGUGUCGGGAAAAAAAGAAGGCAUUAUUUAAUUACAAAAGAAAUAUUGUUUUAAUAAUUUUUUUAAGAAAAAUAUUUAAAAAACAAUAUCAAUCAUCGUAUGCAAAAAAAAAUCCCAAGAACCUGACAGCUUCAAAGCAUGAGCCAUGAUUACAGUAUCGAGUUAUUGAAAUAUAUGUAACCUGGUCGGAUGAGCAAAGGCGCAAAAUUAGGAGAAGCCAUAAUGAUAAAGGUAUUAAAUUAAUAUAAAUGAGUCAAUUAGACCUCCUAAGGCAUAACGUGGGUUCGCCCUAGGCCUCAAUUAGUAUCUUCAAUUUUGAUUCAAACCUCCUUUUUAUAACAAAAAUAAAUUUAAUUUAAAAGAUAUACAUAGUAAAAUGUGAAAUGUGUGUUUUGUGAGGUAUUACUGUUCAAUCGUAUUUUAAAAAAAAAUAAUUUUAAAUUAUUUUUGUAUAUUUUUAUAUUGUAAAGUAAAAUAGAAAAUUAUGCAGAUAAAUAGAAGGAUGAGAAAAAGAGAGAAAAAGAAUAUCAAUGAUGAUAUAAUAAUAUUAAAAAUAUAUUUAAAAAUUAUUAUUUUAAUAUAUUUCUAAAUUUAAAACAAUUUUUAAAAAACCCACUUUUAAAUAUAUAAAAUUAAUUAGAAAAUGCAAGGAGAAAUUAGACCAGGUGAGCUCAGAAAGCCCAUUUGUUACCGGGCUCAAGAGUGAAGACUUUCGAAACGAGCAUGGGAUUGGUGACCAAAACAAAGCCUAAAAAAACUCACUAUCACAGAGAAAUUGAACCCGUUGAGGUUGAGCUCAUAAACUUGAAAUUUCUUUUCUUGUUCUUAGAACAAGACUUGAAAUUUCAGAAACAGGACACUCAAGACAAAUGGGAAUCAGUGGAGACCCUCGAACAUUCAGGCAGGUUGUAGUGCAAAAUUAAGGAAGAAGGAAUGAGUGCUAGUAGUUUGGUUGCAGAUACAGUUUGGAAAACCAUUGAAUCAACCCAAUCAGGUCCUCUCUUUCUAUAUCUCAUGCUUUUUAAUAUUUAGUUAUUAAAGUCUUUUAAACCCACCUUCUAUUAAAUGACGCUUAGUGUCUUUUUUUUUCCUUCCGUGGCUAAUGUAAAUGGUGGCAGUGACUGAGGAGCAGCUUUCAAUGUGAGAAGCAUAUAAAAUAGUCACUUUCCAAUUUCCUAGCUUGCUUUUGAUCAAGUUAGUAUUGAUUUGUAAAAGGGUGUAAAUGGGUUGAUUGAUUUUGGGCCUUUUCUUUGUGUGUGUUGUUUGGGUUAAAUGUAGCUUGCAUUUCUUGUUUGGUAAGAAUCUUGAGAGGGCAACAAAGAUAGUGGAUCAGAGAGGUGUCAAAAAGAUCUCUGGUCAGCCCAGCGGUCGUUCCAUCUUUCAGGUUCAAUUCUAUUCUUUGCUAUGCAUUGUACUUUAGACUUCAAAUUUUUGCACAUGGUUGUUCGAGUUUGGAUCUAGGGCCUAAUUCGGGUUUUAAAAUGCAAAUAAAAUUGGUUUAGGUUGAAUUGUUUUGUGAUAAAAUGGCGGGGCGAUAAGCUAGGAACUUCAGUUUAAAUGGAAUAUCUGAUGAGUUUGACUGUUUUGGUGUAAAUUUAUAAAGAGGAAUGUUUGAGCAAUUUAGUUUGGAUUAGCUUACUAAAGAAAGGUUUGAGGAUUAAAAGAGUGCAGUUAAGGUUCUCCCUAUUUGAGAAUAGCUGUAAAAUUUUAGGAUCAAUCAUUUAAGAACUGAUUUGGCAAAUGGGUUUGAGGUGAAAUUGGAUUAUGGUGAAGAAACUUGGUAGUUAGCACUGUGAACAAAUUGUUAAAUAUGUUUCAUUUAAAAAGAUAGAAGUAAAGAUUAAGAUUUGAUCAUUUAAGAACUCAUUUGGUAAAAUAAUUUCUUGUUUGCUGGUGUUGGUAGGUGGUGGGAGAAUCAAGGAGGAAGGAGGAGUAUUUCUGUUUUCCUGAACACUAUUGUGCCUGUUAUUCAUUUUUUUAUGACAUUGUCAACAGAGGAGAACAACUUUGUGUAAGAGCUCUUUUUUUUUUUCCUUAUUUAUCAUUUCAGUUUGUUGAAACCACUUUUCUAUAAUGUUUUAUGAUUAACUCUUUCAUUUCUUGAAUCCAUUUCAGUGUAAGCAUCAAUUAGCUGCAAGACUUGCAGCAGCAUUAGGAGCGUUCAUUGAUGUUAAAGUGUCUGAUGAGCAACUGGCUCUCUUACUCAUCAAACUAUAACAUGUGGAGAUGGAAGGGAUCUGACUUUAAAAAAGAAGAGGUAUGGUCCAAGAGAAUCGUAGCAAAAGUUUUUAUUAAUUUCGUAGGCUUCUGACUUUGGAAGCAACUACCAGCAAUGAAAUUCUACAACCACUUCCAGGAGAUGAAAUAAUACAUCACUAAUUCGGUUGAGCUUUGCAACUUACUGUACCUCAAAAUCUUUCAGAAUUCCAUAAUCAGGUCUACUUCUCAACAAGCGAUGCAAUAUUAGCUUUGAUCCUUUACUGAUGCAACGAUGGCCAUACUCGGAACUCUGGCUCUGGUGCUGCAAACGAUUAUGAACAUUUCAGUCAAGAUCAAACAGGCUUUAGUAUAAUUUAGAUUUAGGAGACUCUGGCACCACAUUUCAUUUCAUUUUGAUCUUGAUUUAUAGAAAGUGCCAUUCCCCGUUGGCAUUCAUGGAUUACAUUAAAUUUUUGUCAUUCUUGUGUUGUCAUUGUAAACUCAAGAAUCUAACUUGUUUCCACGGUUUGAUCUUUUGGUAAUAUUUGCACCUUGACUUGAAAUGAUGCUUAAAAUAUCUUAAAUGUUGCAUGCAUGCUAUCAGGUGCAAUCCUAAAAAGGACAACCAUUGAACUUGCACGAUGUUUAUGCCCCACCAAUGUUGUUUUAUACUCUGUAGUUGUUGUUCCAUUGCAUAUAAUAGAUCUUCACAUCUUUAGUCAUGUUGAGUUUCUUUUUCUUUCAUUUUCAUUAGAUUAGAUGUUCAUGAAAAAUGCAAUGCACAGUGAAUCAUCAAUGCUAUUAAUGAACGGAUCAUUUUUACAUGUUAAGCAAAUAAUGUCUAGCCCCACUUUGAAAAUUGUCUCAAAAGCAUCACUAAUCAGAGACGAUUUGAAUCACUGAUGUUAUCCAUGAACAGUUCAAUGUUACAUGUUCAGCAGAUGUGUAAACGCCACAUUUGAAAUUGUCCCAAAUGCAUGCUAAUGCCAGUUGAUUUGAAUUGUGUUAGUGAUCUGUUGUCUCGGUAGUUCAAUGUUAUGUUCUCCAAUUAUGUAACCCAAAGAGCUAUUUCAACAUUUCAGCCUUCCUGUGGCGUGCGAAGUAAACGAUGGGGUUUGUUGGGAAUGGAAUGGGCCAGGUCUAGACUCUAGCCUGGUAUCGGGGUACAAAACUGCUGACCGAGAAGAAUCUACUUGGUCGUUGUUUCCGGCACCCCCACAAUAGAAAAAUAACUGGUUACAAGCUUGCAAAACAUUAUGAAAAUGUCGUCUUCUCAUCACGUUCUCAAAAACUGGUGUAACCUGGAAGGCUUACAAAAUGUUGGGAUGAACAUCCUUUGAGGAUUUCUGAAAAUGCUUGGCAAAGGCUCUAAAUCCCUUUUGUUUUGUUAAUCAUGUCCCAUUGAACUGCAUCUCCCUUGUCUCAUGUUGCUCUUGCUUUGCCUGUAUUUUGAUGGCUAAAGUGCCAAGUAACACACUGCUCGCUCAUCAGUAUGUCAAUUAAUACAACAACAACAAGGAUUAAAGUUGCGACAGCAGCUAAAAAUAACCACCAACUGGGAUCUGUUUCAGGAAACUAGAUCUCGUAAAUGAACUAGUGUUACUGGAAACAUCAAUGGAAGCCCCUCAUACUUGCUUAUCGUGGCGUAAGCACUCAGAGUCCUCGCCAUAUUCAACAAACAAGCCGGCGAAAACCCAAAUAUAGCUCCAGGCCUAUGAACAGACCAUUUCAAACCCCCCUUCCUCUGAACCUUAUUAAACAAAACAUCCUCUGAUAAAAACUCAAUGAAUUUAGCCUUGGAAGAUCCUCAUGUAAUGGAGGGUCAUGAGAGCUGAACCUUAAACAAGACUCAAAAGAACCCAAAUAAUGCUUGCGUCCUGUUUGCAAGCAAAUGUGCUGCAAGUUUGGAGUGUUUGGGAUUACAGCUUUAAGCACGUUAUGUAAAAUGGUGCUGUUAAAAAUGCAGUUUUCAGCUUCUGUAGACUUGCUAGCCCAGGAAACGUAAAAGAUGUGGGUUACAUCUGUGAGUUUUGAGAGCUUUUCAAUGGGUUUAUGCAUCGUUCAAGACAUCACAUCGGAUUUGGAGGUAUUUAAUUUGGUGAUCGGAUUGCCAGAUUGGCCGUGGACGGCGUGCAACUCUGUAAACUUUCCAGGGACCACCCGGGGUGUCUGCAAGAGGGAGGAUCCCGGCCAAGCUGCUGCUUACAAUGCCUGUGGCACCUAUUAUGAGGGCCACGCUUUGGUACUUUGGUGGUGCAUCACCAUCCUCUUAAGGUUUUUUCCGUUUUAUUUGAUCAAAUAAAAAUUAUUAGCUCGCCUAUAAUUACAUAACAGGAAAUGGAAUAUGAAGAGGAAUAAAUUGAGUUUUUUUAUAAAAAAAAAUGCCUUUGCAGCACCUAUGGCUCCUGCCCACCACCACCUCAUUGUGAUUGUGUUUUCUGAUUUUGCAAAUCAGAGAGAAGGAUGGAGAGAAGUGCUUGCAAGAAGAGGGAGAUUACAGAGUUGAAGAUGAGUAAUUACGUCGUGGAAAUGUGUAAAUGGACCUAAAAAUUCAGUUUAUUUAUUGAAACACCUUGUUUAUAUCAUGGUGCUUCUAUCCUUGUUAUUGGGGUUUUGGUAAUUAGGCAUUUUGUUUACCUUGUACGCUUUAUUAGUUCAUUGUCACAUUGAAAGUUAAACCAUAGAAAAGAGGGAGUUCUGACAACUGUUUCUGGUGUUUGGAGCAUAAAUCAUCAUUGUCAGCCUAACGUGAUCCCUACUUAAAGAGGGUUCUUAUAAUAACUAAACCAUGAAGUUGGAACUAAUACUAUCAUGGCUUGUCUGGACUCAUACUUGAUGAAAUCGACAGCCACAUCAGAUUAUUGCAUCUCUGAAGAAGAUAGGAGCUAAUUUGAGUUGCGAAGGACGCCAUUCAUAUGUGCAGGCAGCGGAAUUGUGGAUGGAUUAGCAUUUGUGUUAAAACUUUUUAGCAAAAUGAGUGAAAUUCAUUACUUGAUUAAAAAUAAUGUAUUUUAUGCUAUUUCUAUCCAACUCUGAAUGACAAGUUAGUAUCAGACCCAGGGAGCUGUCAUCCGACUAUUGUAAUGACCGGUUUUAACUUGGAAUUUUUAGCGUGCAAUCCUGUUAACUCUGAGGUCUAAUGCUAAAUCAUGUCACCAAGGAAGACAGAGACUCUGUUUCUAUGAGCUAAUUACUUUUCUCUAGUGGAUAACCAAGGCAAAAUAUAAUACCUCUAGAUUAGGACCCAGGCCAGCUUGGAAGUUUGAAGUUCAAAAUCCUUUGCUUUAGCAGAGAAAAUCACAGUAAGAAAUGAAAUAUGGUUUUGGCAAUAUUUUAAGCCAGCCAUUAAGCAAGUUGUUUGAAGUAGACAUGAAACCUACGAUGUUGUUCCUAGUAAGGAUGAAUUUUAAGGACUUGUCAUUGAUAAUACAUCAAAUAAAUUACAGGAUGGUGACAAAUGCAUGCAGGAUUGUUUGCUAAUGUACUGAGAUGUGAUUGAAAAUAUGAUUUGUCCUGAUCACAAUUUUAAAAAUGUUUAAUUACUCGAUAUAUAUCAUAGUUUUGCAUAAAUUUCACUAUAAACUCUCUUUUAAAACCUUGGUCAUGCUUGAAGCUACUUUUUCAAACCUUAAUCGUAAAAACUACCACAACAAAACGAGCCAAACACACAAGAAGUUCAACCGGGAAUACAAGGAUGAUGAUAGACAAUUACUCCUAUAUAAGUUUCUCCUCAUUAACAACGUUUCUGUUUUUCAUAAUCAUUCUUGAUGAUAGAACAGUCCAGUGGACCGCUGAAACACACUGUUGGCUUUCAUGUUUCUGGUUUCGAGUAUAACUGAGCUUCACAAAACUAACAAAUGGAGUUCAAAAGCCACAUUAUCGUGAUCUUUAGGGCAUAGCUAUUCAUUAACUCGGCAUUUAUAUAUAGCUUUUUACUUUUUGUUACACCUACAAUAUAUACAUUGUACACACCUUUAGCAACUUUCAGUAUAUAUCGCCAGAAGCCAGAACUUUAUGUAAGAUCACGUAUCAUCAGCUAAGAAAUGGCCAAUUAGCAACUCUCCUGGACAAACCAUUCAUUCAUCCUUCUUUCUUUACCACAUAGUUCGAAGCUCAAGAACCUAACAACAAUACAUGAAAAAUCACAUCUUAGCAAUGAAAAUUAAAGGCCACCUUUCCAAUGACAGUAAAAUUUUGUCAAAAUAAAUAACUCCUUCAUACUCAGGAAAAGGUUAAGAUAGGGUGAGGCCAGGAAAUGCUUUGGCAAGAGAUUCAAAACUAAGUUCAACUAACAAAACAAUACUUUUAAUCUAUAUGGCCCAUAAGAACAAAAUGAGGAUAUCCAUCCCAAUUCCAUAGUUACAGAGAAACAAUUUUCUUCUCAAGUAAAUAUAAUAAAAAUGCCAUCUUUUACAUUAAGAGAAUCAAAUUAUUAAUCACAAUGAUGACACGUUGCAGAGAAAAUUUUCAAAAUUUUGAUUCUCAUAACCACCAAAUGCUAAUGGUACAAAAUGAUUCACAUUUGAUAGAGGUACUCAUACCUUGAAGUCAAUAACUCCCCUUUCCCCUUCUUUUCAUGUCUUGUCUGGAUCCAAGCACUGCCCUCCAAAUAGAUGUGUUCCUGAGUGCUUGCAUCUCUUCAGCCUCUAGGAAACAUUAGGAAGCUUUUGCUGGAUCAUCCAUAUCAACCACAUCUUCAUGCCUAAUCAAAACAUGAGACGGAUAAGAAAGGGAUUGCCUAUGACCAUUUGGUUAAACGUUCUAAUAACCUGCACUCGUCCUCCCUGGAAAUGUGUGGAUCAAGCUCAUGAAGGCUGCUUAUGAACUUGAUUGCAUCAUCCCGGCGAUUAAGUUUACAGUAUCCAUCAAUGACUGAGUUGUAUGUAUUCUGGUUCGGUUUACAUCCAUGCUUGAUCAUGUAGCAAACAACAUCAAUAGCCUCCUCAAACAUUGAAUCAGCUGCAUAACUUGCAACAAAAGUAUUAUAUGUGAUUACAUCUGGAAUAAGCCCAGAUUCUCUCAUUUCUGAGAAUAUAUGUGAAGCCUCUUUCAUCCGCCCAUUUCGGCAAUACGCAAAAAUUACGGUGUUGUAUGAAAUUAUAUCUGGUUUUAUUCCCUUUGCAAGGAUUUCUUUUAAAACUUCUUCUGACCUCUCAAAGUUCUCUGAUUGGCUGUGCAUAUACAUCAAACUAUUGUAAGUUGCCAAGCUAGGAGUGAACCCACUCUCUUUCAUGAAGUUCAAGAUCUCAUUUGUUUUGGUUACCAUCUGCCUCCUGCCGUAAAUAGCAAUCAUGGCAUUCAGAGUACUCAAGUCAGGUGAAAAGCCUUUUCUCUUCAACUCCAGGAAUGCACGCUCAGCUUCUAAUAGGAGGUCACAUUUACUAUUAACUAAAACAAGGGUCUUCAAGAGCACAGCAUGAGGUUCAAUUACACCAGAGCAUAUCUCCUCCGCAAGAGCAAGCAUCCGUCCAAUCUCCUUGCCAUUGGCAUAAGCAUGAAGCAAAGAACAGUGUGUCAGUUCAUUGGGCUUGCACAUACCAUCUUGCAUUUCAGCAAGUAUUUUCUCUGACUGUUCCCAUAGCCCUCCUCGAGCUAAUGCUGCCAAAACAGCAUUAUAGGUGGAAAGAUCAGGUGUGAUCCCAGUAUCCAGCAUUCUCUUGUACAUAGCCAUGGCUUGGUCAAAUGAACCACACCGACUGUACGCACUGAUUAGGGUGUUGUAGGUAUCCCUCUCCGGUACAAAGCCAACCCUCUUCAUCUCCUUGAAAACUCCAGACACUUCUGAGUCCAUCCCAUUUUGCCCAAACACUGCUAGAAGGGUAUUCCAAGUAACAAUAUCAGGUACACAGCAGCAAAUUUUGAUCUCCUCAAAAACCUUCAUCAUUUCUGCAAACUUUCCCCUGUUACCAUGCAUCUUAAUCAAGGCAUUGAAAGUACAAAUAUUAGGUUUGCAACCUGCAGUUCUCAUUUCCUCAAAAACCCUCAUUGCAGACUCAUCCUUACCAGUCCUCACAAAUCCUGACAACAUUGCAGUGUAAGUAAAAACAUCCAGUUUAAUCCCUCUUUCAACCAUCUGGUUUUUAAGCUCCAUUGCUUCUUCCAACAGACCAUCCCUUGCAUAAGCAGAUAUCAACGAAUUAUAUGUCACAAUGCUUGGUGAACAUCCAUUGACCUCCAUUUCUCUUAAUACCUCGAUCGCCUCCUUAAUCCGCCUAGACUUCCCAUAAACAUCCAAUAAAGUAUUAUAAGUGACCUUAUCAGGCACAAACCCCAUCGAUUUCAUAUCCUCAAAAACCGCAGCAGCUUCUUCAUACAAAGAUCCUCGUCUACAACAGGUUAUCAGCGUAUUAUAUGUAUACUCAUCCGGCAAAAUCCCAGCAUUCUUCAUUCCCUCAAACAGACCUGUAAUCUUGUUCCAAGGCAUACCCAUUUUUCCAUACACAUUCAGAAUCACAUUAUAAGUAAUCAAAGUUGGUUUGCACCCUUCUUCCUCCAUCUUCUUAAAAACCAUCACAGCUUCCCUAUACCUCCCAUUACUAACACAAGCAGUUAUUAAAGAUGUAUACGCAUAAACAUCAGGUUCAAACCCAUCUUUAUGCAAAUUAUUCAACAAAGAUGCUGCCACCGAAACUUUUCCUUCUUUACCAAGCAUAUUAAUAAUCACAGCCACAGCUGAAUUACUCAAGACAGAUUCAUAACCAUUCCUAUUCUUAAACCACUCAAACACACUCAUAGCCAGGUCACUUUUUUUAUAAAACCCUAAACCCUUAAUAAUACCCAAAACAUCAUUACUUAACCUCUCCUUACCACCACUACAUACACUCAACUCUUCUUUAUAGUAAUCAAAUAAAAGACUCAAGAUUUUAUCUAAUUCACUGGUUUCGAAAGAAGGGUCAUUUAAAGAAUCUAGAACUCGCUGACCUUGAAGGGAGAGACGACGGUGGGUCCAGGGUUUGCCACGGUUAGGGUCACAGGCCUUGCCAAUUCGGGUUCGGUUUCUUGGGAUAGGAAAUAGAUCAGGUUGGGUUUGCGGGUUGAUGGGUUUGGAAAGAUUGGGGCUUUGCUUGAAAAGGAAGUCCUGCAUAGGUGGGGUGCCAUGUUGUGGUGGUGGUGAAGUGGGUGUUGUUAGUUUUAGCUGUUGUUGAUGGAGGUGAGAUUGGAGAGGCAGUAAGAGUUUUGUUGGAGGUGGGUUUGUGAGGAGAAGAGGGAGAGCUAGUUUCUCUGUCAUUUUUUAGAGUGAGAGGUUUUAGGAGGGCUUUGGGCGGGUUUAAGGAUUAUAAGUUGGUUUCUUUAGUUGAGUUUGUGUGGUGUUUUGACUUAAGAAAGGAGAGAUUUUUCUGUGUGGUGUUUCAAGUUGAGAUUCUUAGAGAGGGGAUGUUUGAGAGGGGAGGAGGGUUUCAAUCCUACGUGGUGAGUGAGUAGUGGAGAUUGCCAUGGUAGCAGACAAGAAUCUCUGGCGAACAGAUAGAGCUUGCCAUGUCAGCAAAAGGUGACUCUCUGCUUCGGAGGAGAGAAGAAAUUGACAAACUAGAACUAAACAUUAUGAUUGAAAUUUUUCUAAGGAGUUGAAAGAGGAAUUGUUGCGGAUUAAAAAAAUAUGAGUUUGUUUAAGAUUGAUUUGAUGAAUUUUUUCAUGUAAAAUAAAUAAAUAAAUAAAUUUAUAUAAAUAAAAAUAUAUUAUUUUAAUUUAAACAAAAUUAAUAUUUAAAAUACAAUUAUAUAUAGAAUCCAUAUAAAAAACAAAAAUUAUUUGAGUAACUAAAUUAAAGCUACCAUAACAUCAAACUCUCUACGGGAAUUUCGAGUUAAAAAGUCUCUCUCCAAUCUUGCGGAGUUCAAAAGCUAAUGCCGUACAUGUGGUGAUAUGGAAUUAGCUGAUCUAAUUUGUGUUUCCCGUUGCAGGAAUGACUGUGUAAAGAUUCCAUAGAAAAUUAGGAGACCCAGAAGCGAGGAUUAGAUUAGAACUGUGUUCCACUCUUUCUUGUUUCUGCAACCAAAUAUUCUUCAAUAAAGUUCCCUUUUCUGCAAUUACUAGUUUUUGCCCUCACGCACUCCCAUUCUUGGGGAGUUCUGUGCAAGAACUCGUUAUGAGUCCAACUCCAGAGACGCUCAAUUGCCAACAAUCAUUUCAACAACUCUAUUUCGUAAUUAAGGUAGGUAAGUGCAGGCAAGGGGCGGCUUAAUACGACUGCUGCCAUGAUCAUUUGAGAUAAGUUUUUCAGUUAGAUCAAAACUAUCUAAAAUCAUACCAAGAGCCUGUUUUAUGCAGCAUGUACCCAAUAUGAAAAUAUUGCCAGAACCACAACUACAUACAAGAUUCAAUCAAAAUUUGAGAUUCAUCAACAGAAGCAUAAACUGGCAGAAAGUUAUAAUAUCAUCUUGAAAAUCGUACUAUGUAAGGAAUCCAUAAGCAAAAUUCUUAACAAAGCUAGUUCUGCAUGUAAGUACUGCUAAUUAAGACUAAAAACACAAGCCGCCGAAAGCACCAGGCAUAAUUUUGACUAUUAUCGUCAACAAAAAAGAUAGCCCUGCCACGGGAAAGAUGACCACGAAGACUGGAUCCAUAAUCUUGAACUUCAUUUGAGGAAAUGAGGACUAAUCAACCCAGCAAUCUCAAGAAAUCCAACCUGGUCUCUACCAGCAAAUAUCUUCUUCAACUUCUCGUCACAAAUUAUGUUCUUCUUGUUACUAGGGUCCUAAAAAAACGCAGCAAGUCCAGUCAGCUCCAAAUUAAUGAGAUAACCAUAUAUGCGUACACCAUGGAUGUUCUAUGCAAUGGCUCAGAAACAGCUAGAAAAACAAACACCAGAUUCAUGCAAAAAUGACGAACUAGAGGAGCAAUAAUACUGCAGUUCAAGAAAAGAGUUAGCACCAAAUUAGUAAAUACACCACUCAACAAAUAAAGGGAAGUGACCGCACCAGCAGAUGGACUAACAAAUGUUCUAAAGGGUGAAGUAAAACGGUAAUUAAGUGAACAUUGUAUCCAUUACUCAAACACCAAUCAUGCUUUUUGUUUCAACCAAAUUAUUCAGCUGGAAGCUAACCCUAAUAGUGAAGGACGAUAGCUGCUUGGAAAUGACAAGCCAACAGCCAGUCUUCGUGUUGAACCUCGCAAUUUUGUAAGCGCUGCCUCGCAUUUUCAGGUUAGUAAAAUCCAGUACCUCUAAUUAAGCCACAUUCAUAUAAACAUACUGCAUGUGGUCGUAUCAACAAAGCAGUGCAUACCACAUUCAUGUAUUACAAAUUUGAAAUUAUUCUGAAUUGUUUCUCAAACUUGAACUACCUACAAAAUCAUGUCUCAGCCAAAAUUCUAUAUAAAAUCAUGUCUCAACCAAAAUUCUAGUGAUGAAAUCUAUCCCUAACAUGAGAGACACCUUGUUCAUACAUCAACGAAUUCACAGCAAUAAUGAUCAGGCCAUGCAAGAAUAAAAAACUACAUCGAACAAACAUAUCCAAGUAUAACACCAUUCAAUUAAUUACAUGAGCAGCAAACAAACAAUACCCAAGAACCCACAAUUAUCCAGCAGCCUCAUAACAUUAUCCAAACCCACAAAAGAAGCAACGCGUAAAACAUAUUACAUUUUCAGAACUAAAAUACAAUAACCGCAUAACCCACACUUAAAAAACUCAUAAAAGUAAAAAAAAAAAAUAAUAAUAAUAAUAAUAAUAAUAACAGCACCAGAAGCAGAACUGGAACAUUUCGCUGACACCAGCACAACCUUAUCCACAAACAUGACAUGUCUCCAGCUAAUCAAUUAAAUAAUCAACAGCAUAAAAACCCAUGAAUAAAAAACAACCACAUUUUACCGUUCCAAAACAACCUUAUCCAAACGUUUAACUAAAAACUAAGCACAGGAAAUGACAGGAACCCAAGAUUUUAGAACAAAAUGUAGACUUCUAAUAAAAAUUAUACCUGAAGAUUGUGCUCCUUGAUAUGGGCCCAUAUAAGCUUGAGAGCCUGAGUACGAGAGACCUCAGGAGCACCAAUAAAGUCCGCCAUUUCAGGUGAGACUCGCCUCGGCUUCAUUAUGCCGCGUGGAGCACGGUUUCCGGUCGAUGCCGUGGCGCAGGUAACUACAGUACUACGCACCAUGCGCGGGUUCGCGGGAGGCGCAGCCAGAAACCUGAGAGGAAGAGUGGAUGUAGGAGAAGGAAACUUGAGAAGCGGCACCGUUUCGGUGGAUAGGAAAGUAGAGAAAAUCCCUGAAGAAAUUGCCAUUUGAAAAAAGAAAAAAACUCGAGAAUUUUGUGUUUCUGAGAGAGGGGGAGGGUUUUGAAUUAGCUUGAUUUUUUUUUUUUUCCUUUUAAAUUUUGGUGUUUUGAGAGAAUGCGAAGAGAGAUAAGGGUUUUUUGGGUUUUGUGCGAGUGAGAAACACAGAAUUUGUCUGAUCCCGCCUUAAUCCUGGCGUACUAUUCUUUAACUUUUUCACGAUUUUUUAAAUACUUGAAUGCCCCUGCCUGGGUCAAGCACUAUAAAAAAAACAGAUCGUUCGAUUUUUGUUGGGUCAAGAGUGUCCUGGUGUUUGAGGACAGACAUCCACCAGAAAUUUGGGCAGUUUGAGGAUGGGGAUGGAGGAGUUGGGUUGGGCUAAAGGAGAAAUAGAAAAGGCCAAUAUAUACAAUGGUAGACCUGGGAAUAAGUAGUGGAUCUGGGUUUCAGAAUUAGGUUUUAGCUUUCAUUUCAUUCUCUGACAUGGGCUUUAGGUGACGGAGGUGUGGUUGAGGGUUUUGGCAAAGGAUAGAUGUGCCACCGGCAAAGUCCAUGAUGCAAAUGUUCUAACAUCUGACAUUUCACGACAAGAGACAGAGACAACAACGAUGAUAAGAGUCUCGCGGUCAAAUUAACUACUUACAUAUUUACAUGCACAGAGAUACCGUGUAAAAUUAUCUAAUAUUAACUAGGAUAGGAUAUUGAUAAACUGAUUAGGUUUUAGAUUUAUUAUAUAAAAAUUAUUAGUUUAAGUUUUAUAAAUUUUAUAGUUUGGAGAUUUAUAUAAUUAUUAAUUUUAGAAUUCAUGGAAUUAGUUAAGAUUCGCGCAAACUAAUCCGAAUACUCAUGUUAAUAAAAAAAAAUUACCCAAUAUUCUAUUAUAUUUCUUUCUUUUCCAUAUAAUGAUACUAGUGAAAUUUCAUUACGUAAUAAUUAUUCGUUAACCCUACUUAGACAUGAAGGGGAAAAAGCAUAUAAAAUAAAAGUAUUGAAUUAUUGUUUGGACAGCGUUGUCUGAUAAAAAGAGUAGAAUCUCUUUUUCCCGUAAUAAUUGUCUUGAGAAGUCAAAUUGUGUGGCUUUUUUUUAUUUUGUCCGAGAAUAUAAUUUAUCUUUCCCCAGGGACAAGCUCUGCUAGCUAUCUUGAACUGUUAAUGCCUCAUUCUCUUUGACAGAACAUCCAUCCAAGACCCUCUGCAUGCCUGCUAACCAGCUCUCAAGAAUUGAUAAAAUUAAGCCAAUUGACGAGAAAGGCUCGUUGAUGCCGUCGUCUGGCCUGGAUGUAUCGCGUCGCAUUUUAGCCAAAUUGAUCAAAAUUAAAACACAUGGCACCAAUUAACUUUCUAGCACAAAUACAACAGCUAAAAAAAAGGGUAUUUCUCUCUAAUAAAUGUAUGGUUUUCUUUUCUUUUCUUUUCUUCUCAUAAAAGGGAAAGGCCUGUCCACGACGAAAGUGGAAUAUACUGUUACAACUUUAAUAUAGUGAUGAAGCCAAACCAAAAUGCAGUCCCUCCAUGCAUGAUUAGUGUUGUUAUGGUCCGACUAUUUGCCCUAGCUAGUAAAACCUUUCCCGGCUUGCAGUUGAAACCACGUUAUCAUAAAGGCAGCCUAGGAUUAAUUAAGAGGUAGGAAGGAGGUCAAUUUAACCUCAAGGAAAAGAAACUAAAGGGCCAACAAGAGGAGGAUAGCAAGUUACAAUCAUUCACAUUGCAGGAAAUGAUCGUUAAACUAACUUGCCCCCCCCCCCCACAGUCCACGUUCCCUUUUACUUUACUCUCGUUUACAUGGACUUUGGACCUACCUUUUGUAUGAUUUGUCCUCAUGAACCGUACCUCUUAUAUAUAGUAAUGUUUCAAUUCGAUCGGACCAGGAAAAUCAAGAUUCCAGAGAGUAAUCUUGUUCGAUAAUUAUCGUGUAAAAUGCGAGAGGAAACGUGUAUGUUAACAACUGAAAGGUACUCUAAAAAAAAUGGGGGUGUUGUUGUGGAUUGAAUUAUGGAGGGAGUUGAGAAGGCAAAUCCUUGACAGGCGUUAUAAUGGCACUGUGAUACAUGUGGACAAUGCUAAGAUAAAGGAUUGAAGAAGAAGCCAUUAAUUGUCACAUUGUUUAACAUGGAUUGGAAGGGCUAGGCACUGGCUAUAUAUCAAUUUCAGUUUCUAUGGAAUGCCCAGUCAGUCGGUGCUUUUUUUGCGUUGAGAAUAAUCAACCACCUAAAUUUCUGCUUUCAUCACUGCAUAAGUGGAAGAAUCCUCUCUCUCUCUCUUUUUGCGUGGGAUUUCUUUUUUUCUCUUUAUAUUUCUUUUUGUUUUUUGUCUAAGUGAUGUCUCUAAUUGAUUGAUUUUCACGUAUGGAUCAAUUAUGUCAAGAUUUAAAGAUUCGUGAAAACUUUACUCCUCGCAAUCUAAGUAAUCUUACCUGAUUUUGAACUUUUAAAAACUGGAAAUUAAACAGUGUAAUUAUUAAUCGUUUGACCAGUUCCUCAAUGUCAAAUAUGCAAAUACAAUGAAAUUCUCCGACCAUCAAUCUCCAAACAAAAAAGAAACAUACAACGAAAAGGACUAUAAGCCUAUAAUUAAACGCUUGUUGAGAAAGAUAACUGCAAACCUACAGGGACCUCGGUGAUGGAGAUGGAGAUGGUGAUGGUGAUAGGUCAAUAAAAACAGAACCCUUGAUUAAGCUAUUAGUAAUCAUAAUACUGCAGAGGAGUUUCUUGGGGUCUUAUGAAAACGAACAUCUUAAUUCUUUCAUCUUUAUACCAAAAAAAAGAAGAAGAAAAAGGAAAGAAAAUCUAACGGAGGAUUGGAUUAUAAGCAAAGGUCAUCCAUCUACCAUUUCCUUUCCAAAUUCUAACCAGUCUGGAUGAGACACGUGAACCCAGUUUAAUGAUCCCUCACACUCAACAAGCUUAUUAGGAGUUAGGACCACCCAAAAAAAAAAAAAAAAACAGUAUCUUUUACUGGUAGAACUGGUUGCAGGCUCACGGCAACACAUGUAGCUGGAACUCGUUGGAAAUUUUACUCGUUAUCAUCGUUUUUUUCUGCAUAAUUUUCAUGUCUCCAGGCCUAAUUUUGUAUUUAUUAUUCAAACUCAACGACGAACUGGCAAGGAUUAUUUAGCCUCCAGGCUCCCUAAAGAGCGCCUGUCACGGCGAGACAGCUAGCACAGCAAGGGCCACCACACAAUGGCGGUGCUCCAACAUACCAACUAAAAUUUGGCAGAUUAUAGCCAAAACUUAAGCGUAAAAUAUACAUCUGCCAGUGCCAAUCCAAUGGCAAUGUUAUGAUUAAGGGCCAGCUCAUAUGAGGGCAUGGCCCACUGAUCAUAAUCCUCCUGUUGCUUAUUCGGUAAAAAGGAUCGCUCAUUAUUCUUGACUAGUAGAAUACCUCUCAUUUUCACAGUUGUCGAGUUGGAUUUGAAGAUUAAUUCAAGAAAUGCGAGUCAAUUCAUGUAUUAGUGAAUUAAUAAUAUGAUAUAUUAAAAACAAUCCAACAUAUUGAAUUUAUAUACAUAUAUAUUUUAAUUUCAACAUAAUUCUUAACAUUGAUUUUAACACAAUUCUUAAUUAAUUGAAAAGGGCAAAGAUUUAAAGACUUGAAACUUGACUUAACAAGUAUUAAUUAAAAUAUUUAAAAUAUAAAUCAAACUUAAAAUCUUAAACAUUUAUAUGACAAUCAUAAUUAAAAAAAUGCAAGUUCUUUCACCCAUGCAUAAUAAAAUUUGAUUGUAUGAACAAGACUAGGAAUUCUCGAUGUGCCUGAUUUAUUUAGUUUAUUUUCAUUUAAAAUUGAAGAAAGAUUUAUUUUAUUGAGUUUUUUUUAUUUAAUCUGAACUAUUGAAACCGAUAUUGAGCUCUACAUUCGCUAGUGGUUGACAAAUGCAUGGCCAUUUUUAAGGACAAAAGAAAAUCAUUCCAACAAAAUCAUUAAUAAUCAUGAUUUUUUGAAUCAUGUUAAUGUCCGACGACUCUACCAUUUUCACUCCUCCCACAGAGAGAGGACAACCCCCUAAGCUAACCCAUAUUCAUCAUUAAUACACAACUUAAAGAGUAACUAACAAUUCUUCUUCUUCUUUUUUUUUUAAGGAAAAAAAAGCUGGCUGACUGCUACUAACGUGUCACCCAGAUCUCAUAUCCAAAUCACAUGCAUUGCUGGUCCCACAUCAAACAACAUAAUCGACGCCUCAGAUCUGUUUGGUAGCUCAUUGGCCCCACCAAUACCUCUCGAACUUCCGAACCUUCUUCCUUCUACUCUAUUUAUAAUCCUCCCUUCCUUUCUUUAUUUCCUCACUGAUCAGGACUGCACGCAAAGAGCAGAGAGAGAGAGAGAGUAUCAAAACUAGCAAAAAAUGAUGCUAAAAAAAGCUGUCAUCCUUCUUUCUUUGAUCUGCAUUUCGAUUGCUGGUGUUUCUGGUCAAGCACCAGCAACGUCACCAACAGCAACACCAGCACCACCCACACCAACUUCUUCUCCACCGCCAGCAACCACUCCUCCACCAGUUUCAGCCCCACCUCCUGUUACCCAAUCUCCACCUCCAGCUACCCCUCCUCCAGUUUCAGCCCCACCACCUGCCACCCCUCCUCCCGCAACCCCACCACCAGCAACUCCUCCUCCCGCCACCCCACCACCAGCAACCCCACCACCUGCUACUCCUCCACCAGCAACCCCUCCUCCCGCUGUUCCUCCACCAGCUCCAUUGGCAGCUCCACCAGCUCUUGUUCCAGCUCCAGCUCCCAGCAAGCCUAAGUUGAAGUCUCCAGCUCCAUCUCCCCUGGCAUUGAGUCCUCCAUCUCCAC